rnacentral:rRNA from 1 species
AUGCACUUUCUUCCCGUCUUCCACUCUUCUUCCUCCUCUCUUCUUCUUCCUCCUCUCUUCCCCAUCGUCGGCCGCACACCAUUUACCCCCGCUCACUGCUCGCCCGCCCGCGCCAUCUUCCUUGUACCAUAUAACUGGAAUUACCGAUGCAAGUCGAAGAAGGAUUGGCCGGUGCUGCCGGCUGGCGUCAAGUUCGAUCCCACGGAUCAGAAGCUGAUCGAGCACCUUGAGGCCAAAAUGAGUGCUGACAGUGCGAGAUUUCAGUCUCUCAUCGAUUUGUUCAUACCAACCAUCGACAGCGAGCACGGCAUAUGCUACACCCAACCUGAGAAACUUCCAAGUAUCACACUGAGUGUCCUAAGGAAGCAUUACUUCCAGCGCAAUUCCAGGGCGUUCAAAAGGGGCACGUGGACGCAUCGCAAGAUACAGUCGGAGUGCAGCAUGCACGCGAUGUGGCACAAGACCGGCAAUACCUUGCCGGUGAUGGUCAACGGCCGGCAGACGGGCAGCAAAAAAUGUUCUGGUGCUGCACACCAACAAGAACUUCGACCAGCAGAGGACCAACUGGGUGAUGCACCAGUACCACCUCGGGGACCUAGAGCAAGAGAAGGAGCGGGAGCUGGUCCUCUGCAAGAUUUUCUACCAGACAAACACUAG